CAGGCGCGAAAACUUUACAAUGCUGGCAACAGCGAUAAGGGGACCUCGAGUGCCAGGUUACAAAUCUGGCUGUCGUGAUGCCUAAAAAGCAUUGCAUAGCAAGGGCCGGGCAAGACCGGUGCCAGCCGCCGCGGUAACACCGGCGGCUCGAGUGGUAACCGUUAUUAUUGGGUCUAAAGGGUCUGUAGCCGGCCGGAUAAGUCUCUUGGGAAAUCCAGCAGCUCAACUGUUGGGCUUUCAGGAGAUACUGUCUGGCUCGAGGCCGGGAGAGGUGAGAGGUACUUCAGGGGUAGGGGUGAAAUCUUGUAAUCCUUGAAGGACCACCAGUGGCGAAGGCGUCUCACCAGAACGGACCUGACGGCAAGGGACGAAAGCUAGGGGCACGAACCGGAUUAGAUACCCGGGUAGUCCUAGCCGUAAACGAUACUCGCUAGGUGUCGGCCACGGUGCGACCGUUGUCGGUGCCGUAGGGAAGCCGUGAAGCGAGCCACCUGGGAAGUACGGCCGCAAGGCUGAAACUUAAAGGAAUUGGCGGGGGAGCAC
rnacentral:rRNA from 1 species